CGGCGUGCCUAAUACAUGCAAGUCGAACGAGUUCUUGUUGAUGAUCGGUGCUUGCACCAAGAUUCAACAUGGAACGAGUGGCGGACGGGUGAGUAACACGUGGGUAACCUGCCCUUAAGUGGGGGAUAACAUUUGGAAACAGAUGCUAAUACCGCAUAGAUCCAAGAACCGCAUGGUUCUUGGCUGAAAGAUGGCGUAAGCUAUCGCUUUUGGAUGGACCCGCGGCGUAUUAGCUAGUUGGUGAGGUAAUGGCUCACCAAGGCGAUGAUACGUAGCCGAACUGAGAGGUUGAUCGGCCACAUUGGGACUGAGACACGGCCCAAACUCCUACGGGAGGCAGCAGUAGGGAAUCUUCCACAAUGAACGCAAGUCUGAUGGAGCAACGCCGCGUGAGUGAAGAAGGCUUUCGGGUCGUAAAACUCUGUUGUUGGAGAAGAAUGGUCGGCAGAGUAACUGUUGUCGGCGUGACGGUAUCCAACCAGAAAGCCACGGCUAACUACGUGCCAGCAGCCGCGGUAAUACGUAGGUGGCAAGCGUUAUCCGGAUUUAUUGGGCGUAAAGCGAGCGCAGGCGGUUUUUUAAGUCUGAUGUGAAAGCCCUCGGCUUAACCGAGGAAGCGCAUCGGAAACUGGGAAACUUGAGUGCAGAAGAGGACAGUGGAACUCCAUGUGUAGCGGUGAAAUGCGUAGAUAUAUGGAAGAACACCAGUGGCGAAGGCGGCUGUCUGGUCUGUAACUGACGCUGAGGCUCGAAAGCAUGGGUAGCGAACAGGAUUAGAUACCCUGGUAGUCCAUGCCGUAAACGAUGAAUGCUAGGUGUUGGAGGGUUUCCGCCCUUCAGUGCCGCAGCUAACGCAUUAAGCAUUCCGCCUGGGGAGUACGACCGCAAGGUUGAAACUCAAAGGAAUUGACGGGGGCCCGCACAAGCGGUGGAGCAUGUGGUUUAAUUCGAAGCAACGCGAAGAACCUUACCAGGUCUUGACAUCUUUUGAUCACCUGAGAGAUCAGGUUUCCCCUUCGGGGGCAAAAUGACAGGUGGUGCAUGGUUGUCGUCAGCUCGUGUCGUGAGAUGUUGGGUUAAGUCCCGCAACGAGCGCAACCCUUAUGACUAGUUGCCAGCAUUUAGUUGGGCACUCUAGUAAGACUGCCGGUGACAAACCGGAGGAAGGUGGGGAUGACGUCAAAUCAUCAUGCCCCUUAUGACCUGGGCUACACACGUGCUACAAUGGAUGGUACAACGAGUUGCGAGACCGCGAGGUCAAGCUAAUCUCUUAAAGCCAUUCUCAGUUCGGACUGUAGGCUGCAACUCGCCUACACGAAGUCGGAAUCGCUAGUAAUCGCGGAUCAGCACGCCGCGGUGAAUACGUUCCCGGGCCUUGUACACACCGCCCGUCACACCAUGAGAGUUUGUAACACCCGAAGCCGGUGGCGUAACCCUUUUAGGGAGCGAGCCGUCUAAGGUGGGACAAAUGAUU
rnacentral:rRNA from 1 species